CCCUGGACGGGGAUAAGGCCGCCACGACGCCGCCCCUCUCCCUUAUCCUCUCCCUCCCUCACGCGCCCUCUUUCCCCUACUCUCUGUGAGCCCGCGCAGCAAACCCUACCCGCCCGGAGACCUCGCCGGCGCCGCUGUUCUGGCCACCCCCGUGCCUAGCCGCGCCUCCCAUCGGCUUCGCCUCGCCGCCAGCAACCUCCCCCUCCAAGGAAUCGAGCCCGCACGCCCUCAAUCUCCGCCGCCACCCUCUUCUUCCGCGCGGCCGGGAAGGAUUCCGACGACCACCGCCGCCGCUCCCGACCUUCCCCGCCGUUGCCGCCUAGCCUGCAAGCUUCAGGUAUUUGCUUCUUCGCGAUCGAUAGAGCACGAGUUUGAGACGAUGAAGAUCGACAACACCGAAGAUCAAUAAUUGUUCACCGACGAACAAGUCAAGCAUGCAUCGAAGAUCCACUUUGCUUUGUCAGGGACAAAGGCAAGCCCUAGCCUGGUUCAUAUAAGUUUUACAAAUUCUUUCAUUCUGGUUACUUCAUAUUGCAUGCGAUUCAACUGUCUUUUACCGAUAGAUAGAGUUACCCUAUCUGUUGCAUGUCCGACCUUUGUAGCCUCGAUACCCUGAUCCACUGCUCCUAGCAUAAUUAGGUUUGGCAUGUGUGCGUCGCGAGAGCCUUUAUCUCUUAUGCUUAGCCAUGCUUAGUUUGUUACGCUACUACUCCGGUCUUCGGACUGGAGCCUUACAAUGAAAUGAAUCUAGCAUGACAGGUUGACGUGGUAAGUAUGGAGAUGAUGAUAAACAUGAUUAAAGGCUCAGACGAGAGGCCACAUUGGGAUGUGGUGGGUUGUUUCGUUUCUGCCGACCCUAGGAACCGAGUUCUCGCCUCUUGAACCAAGACCGAGCGUACAACCACACGAGGCCCUAUUAUGGUACCCUCUCGACUCACUAACUUGCCUAGUAGAUUCCAUGAGUCACAUAGUUUGCGCGUUACCUGGUCAUAUGCAUUGCAUUUUGCUUGGGGGUUAAAGGUACAUAACAGGUAGGUAAGCGUGGCCGUGGUGGCUGGGGGUUGCGGCCCCUGGGGAAACCCACCUCGCCUCACAUCGUUAAGGACCGACUUCGGGACUUGACCCGUUACGGCGGAACAAUCCUUAGCGCGUGACUCAUGGUCUCGGCGACAGCAAGGUAAAGGUCGUGGUCAACCACCCUCUGCCGGCUUUCCAAGGAAGAGAGCUUAAACGUUGGCACUAAGAGUCGGUUGGCGCGUGUGGGUAAAGUUGUGCACCCCUGCAGGGUUAUGAAUCUUUUCGAAAAGCCGUGUCCACGGUUAUGGACGACUUGGGAACGGACGUGGAGAUCAUAGGGAACAUGAACCUAAUCGUAAAACUUGGCAAACAAUGUGUGUUUACGGACACCUUCUUCGGGUGUUGAGGGGGUGAUCCGAGGAUAGUGGUUCGAGAUGAUGAAGAUUGGUGGAUACAAUAUGAUGAUCAAUAGAGAUAGAGAUGUCGCUCUCUUAUCCCUUUUUAAAGGUUCUGAGUAGUCGAGCUUCUUCUCCCUCCUGUUUAUCAAAGGAAAACUGGCUUUACGCAAAAGAAGAUCCACAGAAAGCCCGCAUACCCGCUUUGCUAAAAGGUUGUACUAAGUCUUGUUGAGUCCCUGUACUCAG